AAGAAAGAGAAGAAACCUUUGGAAGCUUCAUCUGUGGUCUAAAAGCCAAAGCUGUGCCUUUCCUGCUUUCUGCCUCAUCAGUCAUGAAGAUUUUGCAGGGAGAGCUGAGUUGAUGCCAGUGCUGGCAUCCAUCACCAGCACAAGAUGGACCACAGGGCUCCUUCACCUCGGGACCUGACCUGAACUUAAUUACAGUCAAAGGUGGAUCUCCAGCAGCUGAUAAAAUAAGCUAAUCUACUAACUUCAGUUAAAAUGAGUACUGGAAAGAAGAUUUCAGACAAAAAAAAAAAAAAGAAAAAAAGAGCAAAUUUCAGCUAAGAAGAAAUUUUGGAACUUUGUGGUUCAAAAAUGCCUGCAUACCAGCACUUUAUUAUU